UACGGAAGGCAGCAGUGGGGAAUAUUGCACAAUGGGCGCAAGCCUGAUGCAGCCAUGCCGCGUGUAUGAAGAAGGCCUUCGGGUUGUAAAGUACUUUCAGUCGUGAGGAAGGUGUUAAGGUUAAUAACCUUAGCAAUUGACGUUAGCGACAGAAGAAGCACCGGCUAACUCCGUGCCAGCAGCCGCGGUAAUACGGAGGGUGCGAGCGUUAAUCGGAAUUACUGGGCGUAAAGGGCACGCAGGCGGUUAAUUAAGUUGGAUGUGAAAUCCCCGGGCUUAACCUGGGAAUGGCAUUCAAGACUGGUUAGCUAGAGUCUUGUAGAGGGGGUAGAAUUCCAUGUGUAGCGGUGAAAUGCGUAGAGAUGUGGAGGAUACCGGUGGCGAAGGCGGCCCCUGGGACAAGACUGACGCUCAUGUGCGAAAGCGUGGGGAGCGAAACAGGAUUAGAUACC
rnacentral:rRNA from 1 species